GACGAACGCUGGCGGCGUGCUUAACACAUGCAAGUCGAACGGAAAGGCCCUGCUUUUGUGGGGUGCUCGAGUGGCGAACGGGUGAGUAACACGUGAGUAACCUGCCCUUGACUUUGGGAUAACUUCAGGAAACUGGGGCUAAUACCGGAUAGGAGCUCCUGGUGCAUGGUGGGGGUUGGAAAGUUUCGGCGGUUGGGGAUGGACUCGCGGGUUAUCAGCUUGUUGGUGGGGUAGUGGCUUACCAAGGCUUUGACGGGUAGCCGGCCUGAGAGGGUGACCGGCCACAUUGGGACUGAGAUACCGCCCAGACUCCUACGGGGGGCAGCAGUGGGGAAUAUUGCACAAUGGGCGGAAGCCUGAUGCAGCAACGCCGCGUGCGGGAUGACGGCCUUCGGGUUGUAAACCGCUUUCGCCUGUGACGAAGCGUGAGUGACGGUAAUGGGUAAAGAAGCACCGGCUAACUACGUG
rnacentral:rRNA from 1 species